AGCUCUGGAGAAGGCAGUUCCCAGUUUCUCCAGGAAUGACCUCAAUGAUUCAACAGAUUCAGAUUUACACCAGCAAGCAGAGGUAGAAAAAAAUACUUUUUUUUUGGUGGCCCUAGAGCAAAGGAAAAAACCCACUAUCUUUUCCAGCAACCUCACAGCUGCUUAUCUGAAGCAGUUCAUGACAGUGAAAGAGGUGGACAAAUACGUCAUGUAAUGCUGCAGUGUGAUUUUUAAAAAGGUGGGCAUGAUUUCACUGAGGCAGGCGAGGGAAGGGUGAGUCAGCAGACGGUUUCAUAAGAGCGCUCCGCAGCUGGCUCCAGCUCCAACGUGGUGGCUCCGAGGGCGGCGGGCAAGGAGGGCUGGCUGGUGGGCUGGGAGGGUGCCAGCCCUGACUCUGACCUCACACAGGACACAGCCAAGGCCACAAGUCACCGAAGUCAACAUGGAGAGAAGCAACAGCUGAGGGAAACUGCUGAGGGAGGGAAGGCAAACGCCAUGGGUGAAAAAAAAACCAAGAAGUCUUUGCAGCCCAGGGUAGGUCCACCUUCCCUGGAGGUCUUUCUCUUCCCUCCAGUGGCUGCUUGCUAUUGCAUCUCUCUGACUUCCACAAAACUUCCUCUUAUGUAGGAGGAGGAUGAAGAGGAGGAGAGGGAAAAAGGCUCUGUGAGAGUGGGGAGAUAAUGCUCCCCUUCCCAGCUCCUUUUUCACAGAAGUUUGGGUAGUUAAUCUCCCUGUUGUGCCAGAGCCUGGCUUGGACAAAGAUUCAUCUCAUGACACUGGCUCUGUAAAACAGGGUGCAAGUAAAUAACAUCUCUGAUCUAGACAUAGUAACUGAGCAACCUCACAGUGCUGGUCCCAAACCUGGCCCAGAGAGGUUUGUCCUCUGGGUUAGGAGGGUCUCCCUUACCCCACAGAACAGGGCUGACUGCUGGUCAGGGCUGGUGCCAGCAUUUCCCCACCCGCCACAGUGCCUGUGUUGGAGCCAGCUGCUCCAUAAGUGCCCAGGAGCCAUGGCACUGCAGCCGUGUCCAACCCCCAGGCAGUGCUGACACAGCCCCAGGCAGAAUUUCCCCCCAGGAGCCUGAUGGAGAUGCAAGGAAAUGAUGCUACAGCAUGUGUAAAGUAAAAAAAAGUAAAAGGCAAGGAGCUCAAGUGAGGUUGGUGAGGAGCAGGUGAGCUCUACAGCACCCAAAUUAGGGGCAGGUAGAUGUCUUCCCCCCCUCUCUGUGCUUGGGGACAUCAAGGCUUCCUCUCUCUGUCCCCAUGCUGCGUGAGGAAAAAGCAGGAAUAACCAGGGAGAAGCCACCAGUGCCUUUUGUCACGGACACCAGCACAGCACCCUCCACUGCACGCAGGGAGACGAUGGAAGGAGGAACUGAGAACCAAGCCCAAGCAACACCUGAGCCAACUCCAGGAUCCUCAUGAGCAGUAGCAGGCUGCAUCAGAAGGUAAUUUUAUCCUCAGUGUUUGGUACAGCUACAACACAUCUCACAGAAGAAAUCCAGUAUCGGCUCUGAUCGUCCUUAAACUCUGAGGGACUGAGUCAUAUCCUGGUCUGGAAGGAGGAGUGGCUUGUGAACGACGCGACAGGAGAAAAUCACUUUAUUGGAAGAAGAAGAGCAGCUCGUCUGUCUUGAGUUAAGCCAUCACUGUAGUGAUCUGGAAUGGUAAAUACAAGAACACUCCCUGGAUAUAGUUGUGAGUUUUUAGGAUCCCUUGAGUCACACUGUGGUGCUUGGAGCUGCUUGCAGAAGAGUUGGCAAAAAGCUCCCAUUUCACUCCCACUGUGAUUUAACCAUUGCAAGCCAAGGGGCAGGACAUUUAUGCAGAAGAGGCUAAAGCUAUUCCAGGGGAAAUAUUACUGAAAUGCCACAGAGAAUUACAGAUUAAUUUGUUGCCAGAACUGCAGACACAAAGCCACUGGAAACACGGGGAAGAUCAGCAGCCCAGAUACCUUCAUGAAUCUGUGAAGAUCACUUCAAAACAGAUGUUUCUUUCAUAAUCAUGCAAUCGGGAGGCAAACAGAGAAAAAGGAAGUGAUCACAUCCUCCCAAGUGCUGUGAGUUUUGUCGCAUCCAAAAAGACACAUUUUUCGUCUUGAAAGAAUUGAAAAUGUGUCAAGCUGCUCCAGCUAUUAAUCCACACAUCCAGCCUGAACUGGGACUGACGUGGCAAGCAGUUUGAUAUCAAGUCUGUACUGGUUACUUGGCAAUAGCUUAAUGAUUAUCUUGGAUGUGAUUAAUGAAAAAUACUAUGAAGAAUAAUCACGUUGCACCACACCCUGAGCUGACUUCCACCCUGUCCUGCGAAGCCACUCUGUGUGGCAGCCAAGGUCUUAUCCGGGCCCUGCAGGCAGCGAGACCCAGGCAGGGCUUACUGAGGACCUCAGGAAGAGCAGGAGCCUCUCCUCUUCCAGUAAAACUUUGAUUUUUCCUGUCUAUUGUUUCCUUUCUGUGCGUGGCAGUGGGAUGCAGCCCUCCCUCAACCCGCCUGGCAAUGCCCUGUUGCUCAGCAACCCCAUACUUGCUGAGAAGGCUCUUUUGCAGCAGCGAACCUGGGCUGAAGAGGAAGAUGAGAUGA